rnacentral:rRNA from 1 species
AGAGUUUGAUCCUGGCUCAGGAUGAACGCUAGCUACAGGCUUAACACAUGCAAGUCGAGGGGCAGCAUGGUCUUAGCUUGCUAAGGCCGAUGGCGACCGGCGCACGGGUGAGUAACACGUAUCCAACCUGCCGUCUACUCUUGGACAGCCUUCUGAAAGGAAGAUUAAUACAAGAUGGCAUCAUGAGUCCGCAUGUUCACAUGAUUAAAGGUAUUCCGGUAGACGAUGGGGAUGCGUUCCAUUAGAUAGUAGGCGGGGUAACGGCCCACCUAGUCUUCGAUGGAUAGGGGUUCUGAGAGGAAGGUCCCCCACAUUGGAACUGAGACACGGUCCAAACUCCUACGGGAGGCAGCAGUGAGGAAUAUUGGUCAAUGGGCGCAGGCCUGAACCAGCCAAGUAGCGUGAAGGAUGACUGCCCUAUGGGUUGUAAACUUCUUUUAUAAAGGAAUAAAGUCGGGUAUGCAUACCCGUUUGCAUGUACUUUAUGAAUAAGGAUCGGCUAACUCCGUGCCAGCAGCCGCGGUAAUACGGAGGAUCCGAGCGUUAUCCGGAUUUAUUGGGUUUAAAGGGAGCGUAGAUGGAUGUUUAAGUCAGUUGUGAAAGUUUGCGGCUCAACCGUAAAAUUGCAGUUGAUACUGGAUAUCUUGAGUGCAGUUGAGGCAGGCGGAAUUCGUGGUGUAGCGGUGAAAUGCUUAGAUAUCACGAAGAACUCCGAUUGCGAAGGCAGCCUGCUAAGCUGCAACUGACAUUGAGGCUCGAAAGUGUGGGUAUCAAACAGGAUUAGAUACCCUGGUAGUCCACACGGUAAACGAUGAAUACUCGCUGUUUGCGAUAUACAGCAAGCGGCCAAGCGAAAGCGUUAAGUAUUCCACCUGGGGAGUACGCCGGCAACGGUGAAACUCAAAGGAAUUGACGGGGGCCCGCACAAGCGGAGGAACAUGUGGUUUAAUUCGAUGAUACGCGAGGAACCUUACCCGGGCUUAAAUUGCAGAUGAAUUACGGUGAAAGCCGUAAGCCGCAAGGCAUCUGUGAAGGUGCUGCAUGGUUGUCGUCAGCUCGUGCCGUGAGGUGUCGGCUUAAGUGCCAUAACGAGCGCAACCCCUGCCGCCAGUUACUAGCAGGUGAAGCUGAGGACUCUGGCGGGACUGCCAGCGUAAGCUGCGAGGAAGGCGGGGAUGACGUCAAAUCAGCACGGCCCUUACAUCCGGGGCGACACACGUGUUACAAUGGCGUGGACAAAGGGCGGCGACUUGGCGACAAGGAGCAAAUCCCCAAACCACGUCUCAGUUCGGAUCGGAGUCUGCAACCCGACUCCGUGAAGCUGGAUUCGCUAGUAAUCGCGCAUCAGCCAUGGCGCGGUGAAUACGUUCCCGGGCCUUGUACACACCGCCCGUCAAGCCAUGGAAGCCGCGGGCGCCUGAAGUCCGUGACCGGAAGGAGCGGCCUAGGGCGAAAGUGGUAACUGGGGCUAAGUCGUAACAAGGUAGCCGUACCGGAAGGUGUGGCUG